AUCUCAAUCUCUUCAUUCAAAGACUCAAUCAUGGACACUCUUACUGACAGCUGUGGCUGCUUCACGUGAUGCAGAAACUCAAACAAGGACUGUUCAAUGCUGGUCUGACCAAUCGGAAUCCACACUUCACCGGGGGAAAACUACCGGCCCUCCAGACACCAACUGAACCCGAAGUCACAGGAAGGCCAAAAAGAUAAUCAAGGACAACAACCACCAGAUCCACUGCCGGUUCACCCCGCUAUCAUCCAGAAGCGCAACAAGCAACCUGGUCUCAGAUAAAGACUAUACUCCUCCAAGAGUAUCAGGGGACAUUUCUGAGAUGCAACCAAAUUCCAUUCCAGUACGCCUGUCACACAACAUAAGAGAACGCUUGCUUAUUUGAUACUUACACGCCUUGCAAAUAACACUUGGGUUUAGAUUGCAUUACGGUGCAAUGCAAGAACGCAAUAAUAACACGGCUAGAGGAGCAUCACGCCCCAUCUUGUGCGUUUGGCUUGGAUUUGUAACCAUGUUUAUUCCACCCACUGCUUUAUGAGGAUUUAUAAAGGACCCCUUGAACCUCCAAAUGUUUGGCUAGUUCUU